rnacentral:rRNA from 1 species
UACAGAGGUCUCAAGCGUUGUUCGGAUUCAUUGGGCGUAAAGGGUGCGUAGGCGGCGCCGUAAGUCAGGCGUGAAAUUUCGGAGCUUAACUCCGAAACUGCAUUUGAUACUGCGGUGCUUGAGGACUGGAGGGGAGACUGGAAUUUACGGUGUAGCAGUGAAAUGCGUAGAGAUCGUAAGGAAGACCAGUGGCGAAGGCGGGUCUCUGGACAGUUCCUGACGCUGAGGCACGAAGGCCAGGGGAGCAAACGGG